rnacentral:piRNA from 1 species
UGAGAUUUGUUCAUGAUCUUCUGACUUACCC